rnacentral:rRNA from 1 species
CGCACAACUGGGCAGGCAGCCUCCGGGAAACCAAAGUCUUUGGGUUCCGGGGGAAGUAUGGUUGCAAAGCUGAAACUUAAAGGAAUUGACGGAAGGGCACCACCAGGAGUGGAGCCUGCGGCUUAAUUUGACUCAACACGGGAAACCUCACCAGGCCCGGACACCAAAAGGAUUGACAGAUUGAGAGCUCUUUCUUGAUUUGGUGGGUGGUGGUGCAUGGCCGUUCUUAGUUGGUGGAGCGAUUUGUCUGGUUAAUUCCGAUAACGAACGAGACUCUAGCCUGUUAACUAGCCGGUGGAUCAAUAAAUUCAUAUGCGGCGAAGCGGUGUUGUUACUCUCCGGAGUGCAUCCUGCAUAGUCGCGUCCACCGAGUCUUCUUAGAGGGACAGGCGGCGUUUAGCCGCACGAGACGGAGCAAUAACAGGUCUGUGAUGCCCUUAGAUGUCCGGGGCCGCCCCCACACUACACUGAAUGAGUCAACGUGCACUCCCAGCCCGAGAGGGCCGGGUAACCCGCUGAAAUUCCUUCGUGAUUGGGAUCGGGGUUUGCAACUAUCCCCCGUGAACGAGGAAUCCCCAGUAAGCGCGAGUCAUGAGCUCGCGUUGAUUACGUCCCUGCCCUUUGUACACACCGCCCGUCGCUACUACCGAUUGAAUGAUUUAGUGAGGUCUUUGGACUGGCUCGCCGGUGCGUGCCCCUUUGGGCAUUUGUGCCUGGUUUAUCGGGCCGGGAAAGCUGGGC